AAUGGCAUAGCUCAGCGGACAGAGCGCUGGGGAUGAAAUCCCGGAGGUCGCCGGUUCGAGUCCGGCUGCCAUUC
rnacentral:tRNA from 1 species